rnacentral:rRNA from 1 species
GAUGAACGCUGGCGGCGUGCCUAAUACAUGCAAGUCGAGCGAACGGACGAGAAGCUUGCUUUUCUGAUGUUAGCGGCGGACGGGUGAGUAACACGUGGAUAACCUACCUAUAAGACUGGGAUAACUUCGGGAAACCGGAGCUAAUACCGGAUAAUAUUUUGAACCGCAUGGUUCAAACGUGAAAGACGGUCUUGCUGUCACUUAUAGAUGGAUCCGCGCUGCAUUAGCUAGUUGGUAAGGUAACGGCUUACCAAGGCAACGAUGCAUAGCCGACCUGAGAGGGGGAUCGGCCACACUGGAACUGAGACACGGUCCAGACUCCUACGGGAGGCAGCAGUAGGGAAUCUUCCGCAAUGGGCGAAAGCCUGACGGAGCAACGCCGCGUGAGUGAUGAAGGUCUUCGGAUCGUAAAACUCUGUUAUUAGGGAAGAACAUAUGUGUAAGUAACUGUGCACAUCUUGACGGUACCUAAUCAGAAAGCCACGGCUAACUACGU